rnacentral:snRNA from 1 species
AAAAUUUCUCUUCAGAUCGUAUAAAUCAAUCACCUUUUACUAAAGAUUUCCUUGGACAGGAACAUUUAUGAGUUUCUACCCAAUUUUUGAAACUGAGGGCUGUCUUUCUGACAGGCA